GCACAUUCUUUUUUUUUAUUUUUUUAUUUUUAAUUUUUAAAAUUUAUUUACAUUAGUUGGAGGCUAAUUGCUUUACAAUAUUGCAGACAUGUUCUUAACCACUGGACCACCAGGAAAUUCCUGGCCUGCUUGUCCUUGCGUGUGCAGUUGUCUGGGCUCUGAUCCACAGAGAGAUUCCAGUGAUCACCAUCACGACCAGAACACAGGCCAUGUCCGUCACCCCAAAAACACCCAAGUGCUGCCCUUUUUGGUUUCCUCUCCCACACCCCAAUCCCUGUCACAAGGAUCUGUCCUCCUUCACUACAUUUUGUCCUUUGCAAUUUUAAAUUUCCUUAUGUAUUCUGAGUAUAACACCUUUCUCAGAUCUGUGAUUCACGAACAUCUUUCCCCUAAUAACAAAUAGCUUCCCUUUUCAUUACAGGAGACAUGAGUGAUGAAAUCUUCUUUUCCUCCCCACAGUCAGAGGCCAAUGUGGUGUAGCCAGCAAGUGCCUGUGAGAUUCUUCAGAAGUAAAAAUGAAUUUUGCUGUCUGUCAGUCAGUCUGUGCUCUCAGCUAGCCCCCAGAGCUGUAUUUCUGCAGAAAUCCACGAGUCUUCUGCAGACAGAGGCGCUUGAGAACAGACUAAUAGGCCAUAUGAGCGCAGGUUUAUUUCCGACAGAGCAUCCCCAACUGUACCCUCUAUAAAGGCUGGGGUGAAGUGAGAAGACCCGGUGACUUCAAUGUCCAUCCACAGCUGGUGGCACACCAAGUCUGGAUAAGUUACAGAGUAGGAGCCAGAAUCCUGUGAUGUGCAGAGAUGUCCAACACGUCAAAUCCUAGACCAGAGACUGAGCCAUAGGAACCAACCGGCCAGAGAAUACUGGAUGGGAGUUGGCUUAAAUGCAGUGGCCAAAUAACAAAUCUGAAUGUACCUAUAGCAAGCAAUGAUAUUGAACCAUUCAUUUAAACACCUUCCCAUAAAGGGAAGUCCUGGGACUCCUGGUUUCAUCAAUGAAAUCUAUCAAAUGUUUGAAGAAGAAAUAGCAUGCAUGCUUCACAGAUUCUUCCUGAAUAGACAGGAGGGAGGAGGGAACUUUCCUAAUUCAUCCUGUGAGCACAGUAUUACCCCACAACCAAAGCCAGACUUGACAUCACCAGAAAGCUACAGAUCCAUAUCUAUCAUGAAUAGCGAUGCAUACACCCUCAACACAGUAUCAGGAAACCAAAUGGAGAAAUAUUUUGCAAAGGGCUGUGCAAGAUUUUUCCCAGGAUUGCAGUAUUGGACCAACACUCAACUUCAGUUAUGGGAAACAGCGUAUUGAUAUAAGGAAGGACGGAAACCACCUGUCACCUUGACAGACAAAGAAAAAGCAUUUGACACAGUUCAAGACCCGUUCAUGACAAAUAAGUCAAUAACUAAAUCAAUAAACACGGUCAACCAGCUCAGGAUAGAAGGGAUCGUCGUCGUGGUGCUGAAGGACAUCCCCGAGAACCAUCCUGCUCUCGUCACGUCACAUCCAGUAGUGUCUGAGUGAAUGCUUGCCGCUUGAGAUCCAGACCAAGGACAGGAGGUCUGCUUCAACCGCCUCUAUUCCACACUGCCGGAAGGGUCUAGCCUGUGCACCGUGCAAAAGGAGAAAUGACAUCAUUGGGAAAUGAGAAGCGAAACCUAUGUCCACACAAAUACUUGUCCUUACAGGUCUUUCACAGCAGCACUGUUUCUAAUUUCCAAAUAGUGGAGCAGCCUAAAAGUCUGUCAGCUGGAGAGUGGUAAACAAAGUAUGCUGUAUGUAGCCAUACAGAGGAAUAGCAUAGACGGAUAAAAAGUGAUGAACUUCUGCUUUCUGCUGCCACGUGGGUGAGCCUGCAAAGCAUUAUGCUAAGUGAAACAACCCAGACACAAAAGGCCACUUCCUGCAGGAGUCCGUUGAUAUGAAAUGCCCAGAAAGGGCAAAUCUACAGAGAGGGAAAUCAGACGAGAGGAUGCCUGGGCCUGCAGGUCCUGUUGGGGAUCGACUGCUGACGGGGUAUGCUAUUUUCUGUUCUCCAAACCAAAGAGACCAGGAUGCCAGUUCCAAAAGAAUCAUCAGGACUGUUGACUAGAAGACAGAAUGGAGAAUUGGAAUGAUCUUCACAGUGGCCUCAGCGGUCCCUGAGGGAAAGAUGACUGUCCUCUCCUGGCUCCAGCUGUUGAUGCUGACCUGCACCACCCGUGGGUGGGGUGGUGAAACUUGCAUUUCUGUCUCCCUCCUCUUGCUGUGGAUCCAGUGCUCCCUGGCUGACUGAGCCUCAGCCACUCUGCUGGCAUCUGCAGACCCCUCUGAAUCUGGGUCUCAUCGUCCAGCCCAUCCCUGGGCAGGGAUGUCCACUCCUCAGCCUCAAUUGCAAGGUCUCCUAGCCCAUUGCCUGCUUAGGUUUCGUCUGGAUUCUGUCCCUUUCCACAUUUCUCCCUCAGUUGAUUCAGAGCCCUCCCUUGGAUCUCACCUGCAGCAAAACAGGCACCAAGAUCAGCUCCAGAAAACGAAAUUCCUAAAUGACAGCCACCCAUCUGCCCAAAGACAACAUUGGGUCAUUGCGCAGUGUGCGCCCUGUGAGUCCCAAGUGUGAAUGGGGUGGAAUCCUCCUUUCCCUGGUCUUCCUCUUCAUUUCUUGUCACACCUCCCUUGUCUGAACCCUCUCACCUCUGCCUGCCACUGCUUCUGUGGGCCGUUCCCCACUGUGAGUGGGAUGCUCUUUUCUUUGGCUUGUCUUUCAUUUGACCCAAGACUUCCCAUACAAUAUCCAGGUCAAAGUGGGCAUAGGCCAGAGUGGCCCGCCUGCUCCACGUCAUCGGAGAGCUCGGCCACGAAGAGCCAGGAGGAAAUGGGCGCUCGGCCCAGACACCCCUGGGGGCAGCGCUCUGGUCACCCGCGGUGGGGAGUGGGAACGCAGCUGCGCCCGGGGAAAACCCGGCCCAAGCUGUGGUGAAGGGCUGGCUGCCGGCAGAGGGCCUGGGAGGCCAGCCAAGCCUGCACCUGGAGCUUGUACCCUACAAAACACUCACUGCCUCUCUUCUGCCUGCUCAGACCCAGGCCUGAGAGGCAGGCAUAGGCGGGGUGGGCCUCUCCAGCCGGAGGCUCUCCUGCAUGUGCAGGAGGGGGUUCCCCAUCGCUCUAGUCAGCCCAGCCACGACCCAGGUCUCUGCAGGGCUCUUGAGGCCCCGCAGGGAUGUCUCACUGGCCCCAACACCCAGCGCCACUGACACGGCCACGGUCCGUCUUGCCGAUCUGAACCAUCCUUCCUCCUGGCCACGCGCUGGCACAGCCCCCCGCCGGUGACGGUGCCUGGGCCUCCUUUCCUGUGGCCCUUUUCUCCCAAGAGCCUUCACUUUACAUUCUCCCUGGGCCGUGGAGGGGAGGGGUGCAGGUGACCCCAGGGCCGGGUGGGGGCGAGGAGGCAUAGUCAUUGCUCGGCAGCAGCUGGCACAUGACCCCCACCCAUCCCCGUGCCCACCCCAAGGCCCACACUCGCUCCUUGGUUUGGGGCCACUCUCCUGCCCUUCCUUCUCCACGGCCUGCUGGACCCACCAGCCUGUUUACAUCCUUCCCACGGGGCUCUUGUGCAGAGCGGCAGGAGGGAACGCUUGUCCAGUGAGAAGACGCUUCUUACGCCAAGAUGUGU